CCCUAUCAUAGAAGUAGGAGUGGACAAGAGUGUUUCCCUUUAUCUGGUUCCAGUGGACCAGUACUUUAUCACCUUGUUUAAAACUGCAGGAUGGUGAGACCACCACAUGCUUGGAAGGACAGUGGAGUUGGAAGUCAGAUUGUUACCCAUCACCAUCCUGACAAUAAACAGUGCAAUGAGUGCAGUGGAUGAAGAGCUGAGGGUUAUCAUCCUCAGAGCUUUGCCAACCAUUUUUAAAGACAUCCAACAGGAAUUAAUAGACAAGAUAAAAAGCUGUGCAUUAGAAUCCACUGAAGACCUGAAAUACGUUACAAAGGAAGAUAUUGUCGACAUACUGCCUGCCAUUCAACUCCGGAAGCUGCUGGAAGCAUUUAAAAAUGGUAAUGCUGAAGUAAAUGUUAAUACAUCUGUGUUGCAAUAUACUGUAAAUUCUUAAAUAGUGGCCUGACCUGUUUUUUUUCUAACUGGUCAACCCACCCUUACUUUAAGUUUAAUAGAGGGUUUUGUAGUUUUCUUUAGAAAAGACGACCAAUGAGAAUUUAAACAAUAUUUUUUAUCAAAAAGAGAAACAUGGUUACAAAUAAUUCCAAACUAAAAUGUUUAUGUUUAAAGCAGGCUCGGCCAGAAGUGUUUUUCUCUGGUUACACCCUGUUUCAUUGACUCACACCAAUCUGACAAGAUGGCAUGCAUUUUUCUCUAAACGUAACAAAGUAAUUGUAAACUUUGGAUUGAUGUCAUCUUUUUGUGUGGUACUGUGGGUGCAUUUGUGUUUGUGAGUGAGUGCUAGAAUGUCACCAGAUGUGUUUUGUAUGGUUUCAGGCCACUUGUGACACACUUUUCUUCCUUUGUAUCUGAGUCCUAAUAACAACGUUUUUGGAAUCCAGGAUUUGUUCUGCUGUCAUACACUUUCUUCUCCAUAAUGUGUUGAAUCACCGCACAGAGCCAACAACCUUAUGUUAGCAGCUCCAGAUUUUUAAUAAAGGUGGCAGUCACUUGA